CCGAGGUUAGAAGACCUAGAUCCACUUUGCAGGAUUUUAAAUAUCCUUCAAGCCUCAGUGCCUGGCAGACUGGACUUCGGACUUCCAGCUCCGAUGCUGAAAAAGGAGUUGUUUUUUUUUUUUCCCCCACUUUGCUUCCUUCCUUGUUGAGGCUGAGAACAUACCGUGCUUUGGAGGGCCACCAUCUAGGGGUACUCGCUUCUCCAAACCUUGGAACCCGAGGUCUAGCCUUGGAAAGAGUUGCCGCCUUACCGUCUCUCCUCGCCUGGAGAAGCCCCAGCUAUGUGCGCUACUGCAGGGUCACAGUGCCGCGGUGGCGAGCUUCUUUCGUGGUCCCUGUCGCCGUCAGUUUCUUGAGAUUUCAGACUCUGGGCUUGGAAACCAGUUGACUGCCUUUCUUAGCGAGGUGCCAUCGGAAACCUGUGGAGGAAUGUUUGGAUUAUGAAUGCUCGCCGUGCCGAGGUUUUGAGACUACUGUAAGACAGAUGAGAAAACCUGAGGUUCUGACAGUUCUUGGGGAAUAUGGACGAAAUUUCCCAGAAAGGAGCUGCUUUUUCAAGUUGAACCUUCUGUGAAGAGACUGAUCAACUGCAGAGGUGGAGAGGUUGGAAUGUUGCAAGUUCAGAACCAACUUAUCUCAGGCCAUCUUUCAUCCCUCCUGACAGUCCUCGAAGCUGUGUGACAGAGGUGGAGCACCUGGAAUGCACAGAGAACCAGGUUCCCUUUGGAAAAUAUUUACUCUCUUCCACCAGCCCAAACCUGAAGGUACCAUCAGUAUGUGAGGCCUACAACAGGGUUCUCUGUUUUCCUGUAGCCAGCCUCUCUGAUGCCCCCAACAAUGUAUUUG
rnacentral:lncRNA from 1 species